AGUGAUAUUAACAAACCAAUUAAAUUGAACUAUCCUACUUUCUAAGAUCAUAAAAAGAUACUAUAAUUCAUUCUUGCAAACUACAUUAAUACUAGGUCAACCAUAAAAUAUGAUAUAUAUAUAUAUGGAUACUAAUUCAUGUGAUGAAUGAUUCAAAAUAACAAAGUGGAUUUGAGCUAAAAAUGAUGGGAACAUCACAAGCCAAAAACAACACGAAAAAGACAAGAAAGAUUGAAGUUAGUCACCUCCAAGCACGAAGAGACGAUGACGGAGUCGAAGAAGAUCAACGAUGGACGUCGAAGAUGAAGAACAAAUGAAGAACAAGCAAGAAGAAGCUCCAAGAACAACAAUGGUGAAUGGUGCUCUCGGUUUCAAAUGGGC
rnacentral:lncRNA from 1 species